rnacentral:misc_RNA from 1 species
AUGGUGGAUGAACUAAAUUGCACACAGUUUUCAAUACCAUUUCCAAACCCGGGCACGGAUGAAGCAAACAAUAUAUCACUAAUUCGAUUUAUUAUUUUUGCCGUAGAGCAUUAUCGCCCGUAUCACUAUUAUCUACUUAGCUCAUUAAUUGUUUUCUCAUUUUUUGCAAAUAUUCUGAUUGUUAUAGUGUUAUCUCACAAGGAAAUGAGACACUCUGGAAUUAAUGUGAUAAUGAUGUUUAUUGCUGUUAGUGAUUUCGGAUGUGCAGUUACUGGUUUGAUGCAAUUAUUUAUAAGAAAUUAUUCAGACCAAUACAUGUUAUUUAUAACUGCGUACUUACAAUUGUUUGUAGAUUAUUUGGCCGUAGUAUUUCAUGCUUCUUCUCUCUUUCUAGCGGCUGGCAUGGCGCUCUGCAGAGUCAUGGCUUUAAAUUUUUCAAACAGAUUGAAUUUCAAAGCCGCGCUCUAUUUUGAAGCUGUAAGGAAACAUGGUCAACUAGAUUUUACUAGCCAUUGUCUUACUCCAACCUUAUAGAGAUAAGUGGCAAUCUCCAAGAUAUGCUUUACGUGUCACUUGUGCAGUGUAUAUAACUGUUUUAACAGUUUCAACACUUAUCGUUCCCGUAAAUGAAGUUAAAAAAACCGACGAUGGUGAAGUAUAUAUUGAUACUUCAGAUUUUUCAUUGGCUUAUGGGUGUUUACUAAUGAAAAUAGUUCUUGUUUUUGUUGGAAUAUGUUUCAAGCUUAUUCCAUGCACUCUAAUGCUGAUUCUAUCAAUACUACUACUUCAAAAAAUGGACGAGGGGAAACGGAGCAGUGUACCAAUUAAUAGAAAUCAUAAAAAAGACCAAUUAGAUCGCUCAUCGCAACUGAUUCAAACAAUAUUAAUCGUUUUUCUAAUUACUGAAGUGCCUCAAGGAGUAUUCAGCAUUAUUGGAGGGAUUGAAGUCAUUGAUUAUUUAAAUUACUAUCAGAAUUUAACAAUUUUUAUGAACGUGCUGUCUUUUUUCAACACAACCACCAGUUUCAUAAUCUAUAGCUCUUUGUCAGCAAAAUUUCGAAGGAUAUUCGCCCAAACAUUCUUACCGAAAAACUUACUUAAUAUGUACAUGGUAACAGUAGCACAUUUUUCAAAAAUUAAUUUUUAA